rnacentral:lncRNA from 1 species
ACCAAUUCAAUAAGCUCUAUAAAUAAAUAAGUAUUAGUAAAACAUAUAUGUAGUAGCCCAUUUCUGCCCGGGCCCGUAAAAUAAAUAAACAAAGUUUGCCGAAACUAAAACAAAAAAACAGUCCAUUAAAUAAGGACCUUUAAACAGUCCAUUUACAAAUCCAGAUUACAUUUAGCCCAAUUACAGUUUAUUGACCCAAAUACCUAAACCCUAUACCCCUUGUACACCCGAGGCACAAUCACAAUCCAUUACCCAGUUACAUUUAAAAUGCAAAUUCAAACUAACCCAAAACCACUAAGACUUAAACCCAAUAACCCGUACCAGACCCAAGUUAGACCCUAUGGCCCAAUAACGGUGUUUGGCCCGAUGCCCAAAUAGUUUCAGGAGACCUAGGGUUUCCUGGGAAACCCUUGCGCCGCAGCAAGCAACACGGCCCCAUGUCGCACCUCAAUCGACGCACGGAUAGUGCCCCACUGCCAAAGAUUGCGCCGUUAACCUGCAAGAAAAGGAAAGGAGCAAGCAAUCAGCCAAUAAAUCAGAAUCAGAAUCGGGGUUUAAUUUUUUAGAUUCAUUUGUAAACAGUAUAAAUGGGUGUAAAAAAACAGUGGUGGGGAAGAGAUACAAAUAUAUACAGAGAAUACAAAGAUUUUGAAAGAAAAUAGAGGUUUAUUUUUCUACUUUAUUUGGAUUAGAACUGCACUUUUAUUUUAUUUUCAUUUUUUUCAUAUAUACACGAAACAAAGAAAUACCGAAAGGUUUUUGGGUUAUUACUUUUUUUUUGCACAAAAUAUUUUUUAAAAAAUAAAAGGAGAAGGAUUACCUGUGUUUCUACCAAAAAAGAGAAGUUUUUGGGCCUACUGACCGCCGUGUGUGGCCACGCGUGUGGUGGUGCGUGACGUUGGAGCUAGGCCGAUCACUGGUCGGAGCUCAGAAGGCCUUCAGAGGUUUUGAAGGAG